rnacentral:rRNA from 1 species
ACGGAGGAUCCAAGCGUUAUCCGGAUUUAUUGGGUUUAAAGGGUGCGUAGGCGGAAUGAUAAGUCAGAGGUGAAAACCUGCAGCUCAACUGCAGAACUGCCUUUGAUACUGUCAAUCUUGAGUAUAUUUGAUGUGGGCGGAAUGUGUCAUGUAGCGGUGAAAUGCUUAGAUAUGACACAGAACACCGAUUGCGAAGGCAGCUCACAAAACUAUAACUGACGCUGAGGCACGAAAGCGUGGGGAUCAAACAGG